AGUCCAGCCCUCAACAGCCAAUCAGGAGCUACGCAGGUCCCGUCCAGCUUGUCAGUGAGGAAGUGCAGUGCAAACGCGCUGUUUAUUUUGCCCUCUCUAAGCAGCAGGAAGGAAAGAAGCUACUUGCAAAAAGGACGGGAAAAUGAGAAAAAUGUCGUAAAGAUGGCUAAUUAUCCUCCAUUUUGUGAGCCGCUACAAACCCCAACAUCGCGUGCAUAGCUUGAAACGCCGAAAAACGGUCAGGUUUCUGAGAGGACGGGAAAAGGACCAGGACAAGAUCCCCGUCGUAUUUGAUGGCAAGCCAUUAACCCUGAAGGAAAAGACACAGCCAAGGAGAUACAGAUAUCAAAAGGGCUUGGUGACUCCCAGUGUUUUCUAUCCUGUGGUAAAUGGGUCCAAAUGGCGGUUAGAUUGUUAAAGGUUGCCGACCCCUAGUGUUGGCUAUGUAAAGACACAGUUGAAAAAGGCUUUUAAAUGAUCACUUAGCAUCACCUGCUGGCAAGUGAAAGGCAUAACAUGCCUAAAUCUAUCUGUCUGUCUGUCUGUCUAUCACAUACUGUAUAAACACCGUAUAUAAAUAUUAUUUUAAUCUAAUCGAAAAAUUUAAUUAAUUGAUAGCCCUUAUAUAUCAAUAAUAAUCACAUAUUAAUAAUCAAUUGCAUUUUAAUGAGAGUAAUCACAUUGGAACUGGGAAUUAAUCAACCAGUCAUAUAUUGUCAUGAUUAAUUAUGAAUAAUUAGGGUAAAUUGUCACUAUAUUUUGCUGGAAUAAAAAGAGGAGUAACAGCAGCUGUUGUACAUGUGUUUUUCACACAUGUUUUUAUUUAGCAAAAUGUGGAAAUUCUCCAAA